UACGGAGGGGGGCUAGCGUUGUUCGGAAUUACUGGGCGUAAAGCGCGCGUAGGCGGACCUGCAAGUCGGGGGUGAAAGCCCGAGGCUCAACCUCGGAACUGCCUUCGAUACUGCGGGUCUCGAGUCCGGGAGAGGUGAGUGGAAUUCCUAGUGUAGAGGUGAAAUUCGUAGAUAUUUAGGAAGAACACCAGUGGCGAAAGGCGGCUCACUGGCCCGGUACUGACGCUGAGGCGCGAAAGCGUGGGGAGCAAACAGG
rnacentral:rRNA from 1 species